rnacentral:rRNA from 1 species
AGCAGCCGCGGUAAUUCCAGCUCCAAUAGCGUAUAUUAAAGUUGUUGCAGUUAAAAAGCUCGUAGUUGAAUUUCGGGAUUAGUACGCUGGUCGUGCCUUCGGUACGUACUGGUGUUACUGAUUCCUACCUUCUGACGAACCGUCAUGUCAUUAAUUUGAUGUGGCGGGGAAUCAGGACUGUUACUUUGAAAAAUUAGAGUGUUUAAAGCAGGCUCGUGCUUGAAUACAUUAGCAUGGAAUAAUGAAAUAGGACGUUCGAUCCUAUUUUGUUGGUUUCUAGGAUUGACGUAAUGAUUAAUAGGGAUAGUUGGGGGCAUUAGUAUUCAAUUGUCAGAGGUGAAAUUCUUGGAUUUAUUGAAGACUAACUACUGCGAAAGCAUUUGCCAAGGAUGUUUUCAUUAAUCAAGAACGAAAGUUAGGGGAUCGAAGACGAUCAGAUACCGUCGUAGU